GCAGUCAUAACUAGUCGCCGGAAUCGAAGAAAAUGGGGAAAUUCAAAAAAAUACUUGUAACCGUAACUGAUGAUCAAUUUCCACGCAAUUCGAUGUACUUUAAGUAAACAGAUAAGUUAUUGAUUUAAGUAUACAAGACAACUUCUUGGUCUCUCAGGCAAAAAAUAAAAUACUUCAGGCUCGGACUUCAAUAGAUCUAGGUACCUACUUUGCGACAUUAAAGUAGGUAGGUACUUGAAUAGGUACGAAUUACGAGUAUACAAAUUGUGUAGCAUAAUAUUUUUACAGUAACAUUAUUAGUACAGAAGAUGAAGCUUGUAAUGUUUACUUCUUGGAUUUUAAUCAUCACCCUCUUGGUUUUCGACGAAGCUAAUCUCAUCUUCGGACAAAAUUCGCUACAACCGCUAAAAUGCAUCAAAUCACGAAGAAAUGGAGAAAAGGAUACGGUAUCAGCUAUUUGCUACAUAUAUAAUAAUACUUACCCGUAUUAUUAUUACUAUUACUACCCCUUCUACUAUUAUCCUUACCCGUAUUAUUAUUAUUACUACCCCUAUGUUUGGGGUUGAUUAAAUUGUGACAUAAAGCGGC